UACGUAGGCAGCGAGCGUUGUUCGGAGUUACUGGGCGUAAAGGGUGCGUAGGCGGUUGUUUAAGUUUGGUGUGAAAUCUCCCGGCUCAACUGGGAGGGUGCGCCGAAUACUGAAUGACUAGAGUGCGGGAGAGGAUAGUGGAAUUCCUGGUGUAGCGGUGAAAUGCGUAGAUAUCAGGAGGAACACCGGUGGUGUAGACGGCUAUCUGGACCGUAACUGACGCUGAGGCACGAAA
rnacentral:rRNA from 1 species